rnacentral:rRNA from 1 species
CCUACGGGUGGCAGCAGUGAGGAAUAUUGGUCAAUGGGCGCUAGCCUGAACCAGCCAAGCAGCGUGAAGGAUGACUGCCCUAUGGGUUGUAAACUUCUUUUAUAUGGGAAUAAAGUGCAGUAUGUAUACUGCUUUGCAUGUACCUUAUGAAUAAGGAUCGGCUAACUCCGUGCCAGCAGCCGCGGUAAUACGGAGGAUCCGAGCGUUAUCCGGAUUUAUUGGGUUUAAAGGGAGCGUAGGCGGGUUGUUAAGUCAGUUGUGAAAGUUUGCGGCUCAACCGUAAAAUUGCAGUUGAUACUGGCAGCCUUGAGAACAGGAGAGGUAGGCGGAAUGCGUGGUGUAGCGGUGAAAUGCUUAGAUAUCACGAAGAACUCCGAUUGCGAAGGCAGCCUGCUGGACUGUAACUGACGCUGAGGCUCGAAAGUGUGGGUAUCAAACAGGAUUAGAUACCCGGGUAGUC